rnacentral:lncRNA from 1 species
CAUCCUUCUUUAUAUUUUAUAAAUGAGGUACCAAAAGAAAGAAGAAAGAUUAAUCCUUCAAAUUGUGAUAAUUUCAUUAUGACAUAAUUAUUACAUAAUUAAUUAUUAUGUAAUUAGUUGCUACAUUGUGAUGUCCACACUUGAAUGAAUUUAGCGUCUUUGUUCUUCAUAGCAUCCCAAAAUAUUUUAUAGAAUCUUGUACAAC